GCCUGGGUAGCUUAGUCGGUUAAGCGUCUGACUUUGGCUCAGGUCAUGAUCUCACAGUUAGUAGGUUCGAGCUCCGCAUCAGGCU
rnacentral:tRNA from 1 species